rnacentral:lncRNA from 1 species
GGAAGGAGACACGUUAAUUAAUGAAAACACUUUAAAUGAAAAACUUGUUGAAAGUCUGCCUUCCAGCCUGGCUUCCAGUGAAGAGACAACUGGAGACAUGCCCACUGAGUGCAUUGAGACUGUAAGCCUUGAUACAGAACCUGAAUUGGAAGAAGCACUACAUGAGCAAAGCAAUCCAGCUGCAGACUCCUCAUCUAAAGCAAGUAGAUGGGGAGCUUGGGGUACCUGGGGAAAGUCUCUCCUGUCAUCAGCUUCUGCCACAGUGGUUGGAACAAGUCGCCUUGGAAAAAGAGCAUCCACAUGCAGAAAAGGAAAAGGAGAAUUUUAGAAUAAUUUUAAUUCAAGAUCAGAAUGGUUGCACUGUUUCCCACUCAAGACCCAUCUACCAUUUAGUUUCUGGCAGUGACCAAGAAGAACUAGGAAAGCACCUAAAACUACAUGUAUAUAAAGCAGCAGUUCCCCCUGUUUUCCUGUCUCCUGGAAUCUGCAGCAUAGACAGACUUCCUGACCCUGGUAUCAGGGUAGGUUGAGUUUCCAUGUUACCCUCUAAUAAUUUUGAAUCUAACUUUGUGAAUGUGUUAAACAAAAUAG